GGGGUUGAUAAAAUAAGUACCAGUGAAUCACUGGGGUCAAUGUAAUUGACAAUCCCUCACCCACAAAACUUCAGGCAUUGUACUUACAGUAGAAAGGAUUAUUAUUAUUAUUAUUAUUAUUAUUAUUAUUAUUAAGGAAGUGAGCUGGCUGAAUCAUUAGCAUGCUAGGUGAAAUGUUUAGUGGUAUUUCAUCUGUCUUUCCAUUGUAAGAUCAAAUUUUGCAGAGGCCAACAUCCUUUCGGAGUUGAUAAAAUAAGUA